rnacentral:rRNA from 1 species
AGAGUUUGAUCAUGGCUCAGAACGAACGCUGGCGGCGUGCUUAAUACAUGCAAGUCGAACGUGAAUCCCGACUUCGGUUGGGAUGAAAGUGGCGAACGGGUGAGUAACACGUAAGUAAUCUGCCUUCAAGUUUGGGAUAACCCUGCCAACGCGGGGCUAAUACCGGAUGUGGUCCAGCUGACACAUGUUGGCUGGAUUAAAGGUCGCGAGGCCGCUUGGAGAUGAGCUUGCGGCCCAUUAGUUAGUUGGUGAGGUAACGGCCCGCCAAGACGAAGAUGGGUAGCCGGCCUGAGAGGGUGUACGGCCACAUUGGGACUGAGAUACGGCCCAGACUCCUACGGGAGGCAGCAGUAGGGAAUUUUGCGCAAUGGACGGAAGUCUGACGCAGCAACGCCGCGUGAAGGAUGACGGCCUUCGGGUUGUAAACUUCUGUUGGAUGGGAAAAAAAGCCUAGGAAUAGGAAUUGAUGGUACCAUUCGAGUAAGCACCGGCUAACUACGUGCCAGCAGCCGCGGUAAU